CUAGAAGUUUCUCAGGUGGUGCAACAUCAACCUCACAGUCUUCUACAAGGUUAAAAGUUCCAGUAAUAUUAUUCAUGAGGUGCUGUAGCUCGAAUGUUAAAUAUUUAAUAUUUGUUGAGCAAUGUAGCGUAACGAGAAUAAAAGCAGCAUUGAUACGUUAAUAAGAGCAAUUUAUAUGAGUGUUGUGUCACUGAGGAGAAUGUUAGUGGUGGUGGGUCGCGUUCGGGCGCGCUAGCGUGAUGUGUCUGACUGACGGCCCAGGGCUCCACCAAGAAGCAGCUCAGGGCACUUCUUCACCGCUGGUGUGAGCGUCACUGCUCCUGCUAGGCCCUAGCACACACCAAGAUGACCCCUUUCGCGGGCUUCACACAUUCGCGAAUUCCCAACUGCCAAAUUCCCAGCCACCAAGUCGCCAAAUCAUAUUCAAGUUUCCUGCCACCUGCGAGUCCCUACUACCCUCCCACCGAUCCUCGCAACUGGCAGCCAGCCCUCCCACCACUCAGUGUGAUUGAGCGGUAGAGGCAGCGGUAGAGGCAGCGGUAGAGGCAGCGGUAGAGGCAGCGGUAGAGGCAGCGGUAGAGGCAGCGGUAGAGGCAGCGGUAGAGGCAGCGGUAGAGGCAGCGGUAGAGGCAGCGGUAGAGGCAGCGGUAGAGGCAGCGGUAGAGGCAGCGGUAGAGGCAGCG